GUCGAUGAAAGUCUACAGAAACGCACGUUAUUCAUUAAAGUAAAUCUAAAAUGAAAAUAAUAAUUGUUAUUAUUCAAUAAAAUUGUCAUUUUGACAGCUUUUCAGUUAGAUAAACAAUGAUUAUAUGAAAUCAGAUAGGCUCCGAUUUCGUAUAAACGUUUAUAGCUCAAGACCACCAGUGAGUGUGUUAUUGUCAACAGUGUUCUCGAUGCUUCUCAUUUAAGUCUUUAUCAAAAUAUCAUAUUUUGGUAUGGAAAGACCACGUUUUUCCUUUUUUUUUCCUUUGGUCGUCCUGCUUUAAGCAGUUGUUCAACUUUGUUCAACAACUUUGUUUGAUUUCUUUUGGGCCGUGAAAGAAAUGUCGAUUAGAAGAGAGUUAUUGCAAAAAUUGAUGAACAUAGAUGAAGACUGUUCCGAUUCAGAAUCAGGUGCAAACUAUCGUCUGAAGAUGAAUCGGAUUAUAUUCAAAGUGUGACGUUUAAUGCUGGAGAUAGCGAUGUAGAGGCGAUCACUAACGAUGAAAAUGAAAGUGUCAUCAAUGUGCCCAGGAAAAGGUGUAGGGUACUAAGUAAUUCCGACUGUAAUAAAGAAACUGAAAACAUAUUUUAUGAGACCGAAACAACUUCCGAUAGUACUAUUUGAAUAAAAUUUCCUGAACCUGAUAUUUCUGGAAGGUCACCAUCUACUUGUGUUUUAAGGGUGUAAAAGGGCUGACAGGCUGCGAUAAAAGGAACAUUAUGGAAGAUAAUCUUUUCAAUGCAUUCCUGUCGAUUUGAUCAAAUAUAUACAAGUAAGGAAUAAAUUAUUAACUGUUCCAAAUGACGUAAAUUUUUUAUUGUUAAUACUCACUAAUAACUAUGAUUCUAAAUAGUAUAAGCAAUAUUAAAAUUUAAUUUUAAACAAAUUUCUUUACGAAUUAGUUAUUAUUUCACAAUACAGUCAUUUUGACCGCUUUGGUGCAUAUAGGCAUACACUAAAUCUCCCGUCUUUCUAGUGUUAAUUAUCUUUAAAUAAUAUAUACUGGAGCUAUAUCAGACAUUUUAAAUUGAUUUAGCUUCAUAAAUAUUGCUAUUAAAUCAUUGUUUAGACAAAAUGUGUGAUUCUUAGACUUUGAAGUGAAUCAGCCUAUUUAUUGAACGCCGUAUUUAUUUGAUGUUAACAUAUAAGUUUGUAAUAACCUAGUUACUACAACAUUCGAAAAUUUCUAGUCUCAGUACAUAAACGUAUGUCUGACAGACCCUGGCUUUCUCUAUAUUCCACAAUUUUGAUGUAAAAUCGAUGCUACUGCCAAUUGAUUAUCUAAUACCUACAUGCAAAUGACAGGUGAUUAUUGAAAACUGUGUGGCGCUGAUCUAUAUUUCACAUUUUAAUCAAUAGAAAGCAAAAAUAAAUAUAUUGCAAUAUAACUUACCUGAUUUACUUGAUAAUAUUUGUUAAAAAACUGAUUUUAUUUUGCUGAUUGAUGCAAAAAUAUGUACUUGCUACAACAUACGUUAUUAUUACUUUUAUUUUCGAUUAAUUUAUGACUGAUUCCAAAUUAACGUUUAGUUUAGAGGGACAUGCUGAAUACACCAAAAA